rnacentral:rRNA from 1 species
GACGAACGCUGGCGGCGUGCCUAAUACAUGCAAGUCGAGCGGACCGAAGGGAGCUUGCUCCUUUAGGUUAGCGGCGGACGGGUGAGUAACACGUGGGCAACCUGCCCUGCAGACUGGGAUAACUUCGGGAAACCGGAGCUAAUACCGGAUAACACCGAAAACCGCAUGGUUUUCGGUUGAAAGGCGGCUUUUAGCUGUCACUGCAGGAUGGGCCCGCGGCGCAUUAGCUAGUUGGUGAGGUAACGGCUCACCAAGGCGACGAUGCGUAGCCGACCUGAGAGGGUGACCGGCCACACUGGGACUGAGACACGGCCCAGACUCCUACGGGAGGCAGCAGUAGGGAAUCUUCCGCAAUGGACGAAAGUCUGACGGAGCAACGCCGCGUGAGCGAAGAAGGUCUUCGGAUCGUAAAGCUCUGUUGUCAGGGAAGAACAAGUACCGUUCGAAUAGGGCGGUACCUUGACGGUACCUGACGAGGAAGCCACGGCUAACUACGUGCCAGCAGCCGCGGUAA